UUUAUUUUGCUUUUUCAAAUUUUAUUUGUAGAGUAAAAUGCAACAACUGAUGUUUUCUUUUUUCUGUUUUAGAUCUUUGCUAAUUACACAUUUAUGCUUUUGUAGGAAAACAUUCAUGGGUUCUAAUUAGCCUUUCUGAACGUUUUCCCUUCUUUAGUGAGGGUGAAAGGUUCUAUGUCUUCUUGCCACCCCCAGCCCCAGUCAUCAUCAUCAUCAGAGUCUUGGUUUGAGUAGGAGGUGACUUGGUCUUGAGAUUCUGUUGGCUCUCGACAAAAUUGGCAAAGACAAGCAUGGCCCAGGUUAUUUUGCUGAGGGAAAGAGAUAGAAGGGUGAGUGAGUGAGUGUGUUUGUGUGCGGGUGCAUGUGUGUAAUUUAUAAAUAGGAUCAAUUGCCUACUUUAAUAAGUAUAUAGAAAUAAAAUAGUAAAACAAAUAUGCCCAAGUAUGAACUCUUCAGUGAUGCUUGUCUUGUACCGUCGUCUUUUUUUCUGAGGUUGUUGGUGAUAAGUGAUACUGCAGUUAGUGAUUAUUGAUUUGUUUCCCUAGGCAAGAAAUUAUAGAGCAGCUUCUAUCAAAUAUUUUCCACAAGGAGAAAAAUGAGUCAGCCAUAGUCAGUGCAAUCCAGAUAUUGCUGACUUUACUUGAGACACGACGACCAACAUUUGAAGGCCAUAUAGAGAUCUGCCCACCAGGCAUGAGCCAUUCAGCUUGUUCAGUAAACAAGAGUGUUCUAGAAGCCAUCAGAGGAAGACUUGGAUCUUUUCAUGAACUCCUGCUGGAGCCACCCAAGAAAAGUGUGAUGAAGACCACAUGGGGUGUGCUGGAUCCUCCUGUGGGGAAUACCCGGUUGAAUGUCAUUAGGUUGAUAUCCAGCCUGCUUCAAACCAAUACCAGCAGUAUAAAUGGGGACCUUAUGGAGCUGAAUAGCAUUGGAGUCAUAUUGAACAUGUUCUUCAAGUAUACAUGGAAUAACUUUUUGCAUACACAAGUGGAAAUUUGUAUUGCACUGAUUCUUGCAAGUCCUUUUGAAAACACAGAAAAUGCCACAAUUACCGAUCAAGACUCCACUGGUGAUAAUUUGUUAUUAAAACAUCUUUUCCAAAAAUGUCAAUUAAUAGAACGAAUACUUGAAGCCUGGGAAAUGAAUGAGAAGAAACAGUAAGUAAAUUGUUUUUUUGAAAGGAAUUCAGUUUGGUUGGUAAUAUGAGGAAAAUAAUACCUCCUUGCCCUAGUCAG
rnacentral:lncRNA from 1 species